rnacentral:lncRNA from 1 species
AAAAAUAUCUUCAUAUAUUAUGGAUUCUAAGUUUUAAGGUUGAGGGUAUUUGAAUAAUUUCCAUUCUUAAAACUAAAAAAAAAAAGAAAUCCCCACAUCCUUACCCAUCUCUCUCAUUCCUCUCAACCCUUUCUCUUUUGUCUCUCCCACUCCAACCUUCUCUCUGUCAUCCCUACAAUAGCUCCAACUGACAAAAAAAAAAAUCAGAAACACCCACCUAACUCUCAUUCACAUUCCUCAUUUAUCCAAUUUGUUUCUCUUUCAUCUUCAUCCUCUCUCUCACCCACACACAGUAGCCCGACACCAC